GGUGAGUGUUACAGCUCUAUUAGAAGCCGUGGGUCACAGAAGAGAACCGUGGAACCUAGAGACCAGUGUUCAGCUCGAUUGGGACGAACCUGGGCACUUAGCCGUGCAGAAACAAUGGCGAGCCUUUAGCCGGAUCGGGAGCAGUAAUGGGUGCCUCCAUGGACAGCGGACACCCUGCCGGAUCCAGAGGGGUGGAAGUCAGCGGCGGGUCUGCGAUGUGGGCAAACAACAGUGGUGGACAAUAGUCUUGCUCAGUUGCCCAGGCUAGAGUGCAGUGGUGUGAUCAUGGCUCACUGCAGCCUUGAACUCCUGGGCUCAAGUUAUCCUCCCACCUCAGCUUCCUUAGUUGCUGGGACUACAAGUGCAGGCCAUGCCUGGCUUCUAUGGAUUGUGGAUUUCUUAUUUCAUGAGCUGGACACAAUUUCUCAUGACAUUAUGCACCUGGCUCCAAUGCUGCUAUUAUUAUAAUGUACUCUUUAUGUAUGAUAUUUUCACAAUUAAACAAAAUCAUUUUUGAUAUUUUUGCUUGUGAUUAAAAUAGAACUUAUAUUGAUCAUG
rnacentral:lncRNA from 1 species